UCAAAACAGCAGACAGAAACUGGUGCACGAUAAACUUACGGGGAGACGCUGGAAAGUUGUCACGGGUGGAUGAACAAACAAUCUGGCAAGGUGCUGGGCUUAGAGGUGGUGCUUAAAUACUAAUGAGCUGAUUACUGAUCGCAUGCAGGUGUGGGUAAUGACCGGUAAUGGCAGGGAACAGCUGUGGAGUGACAUAGCAGGAAGUAAAGCCGAAACAGAAACAGAAACCGGGAGUGCUACCAAAAUAAAACCGGAAAUGGAAACUGGAACCAAAAUAAAACAAGGAACAGAGCCAGAGACUGUGACAGUUUUGUGUUCUCAUAGUAUUGCUGGUAAUUCUGUAAUAUAUCGUAACACUGGUAAUGCGAAAGUAACAUCAGAUCAGAUGUCAUGCACAUAUGUGGAUGUGAUUUAUAGUUCUGUGGUUACUAAAAAGUAGCAGUCUGUAAAACAUGGUUGAGGGUACAGCACAAAGACAUGAGUCAGCACCAACCGCAAAUUUGAAUGUUUGUUGCUUCAUAAGUCCGGACAAUGUGAACUGUUGGACUUUUUGUCACACUACAUGUCGCAGUUUGUGGUUUGCUUUUGAAAUGCAUCAAUUUAGGUUCUGUUUUAAUCUGAGCUCACACAGUGGCUCCAAACAAUCAAUAUUAGAUAGUUAGAUAUUCAAAAUUGACCCUCACCUCAUCUCACAGCAACAACACAUCAAAACAAUCAGACAAAGGCUAUAACUGUUAAUGUAAAGUAAAUAACUCAUUCAUGAAUCUCUAAAAAUAAAUUCAUAUACUAAGAGCAUAUUUAGAAACAAUUAUAUAAUUUAGUUAUAAUUCAUAUUAAUAUCAUGUUUAAUAUAAAUGAGUAUAUCUUAUUACUUUUCCUAUCCUCACUUGAACUGUCAGAAUAUUAUUUUUUUCUAAAUGUUUUUCCACUAUCUAUCUUUUGUCCUAGACAUAAUUCUCAAUGAAAAAUGUUCCAAAAAAUUCUUAUUCACCUUUAAAUUUUGAGUUAAUUCACCAUAUAUAAUGUAGCAUUUAAAUGUUAAUAAAUAAAUAGUCUGUACUGAAUGCAAUGUGUUUGUAUGUAAUCGCUUAUUCCACAUGACACUAGCAUUCUGAUGCAACUACACUGCCAUUAAAAUACUUGUGGUGAUAAUAGUUGUGCAUGUGAGAUGUAAGAAGAUUGGGCAGUGGUCGACCUCUGGUUUUGUCAGGGAUUUGCAGCAUCACUACAGUUCAUGAGGCAUCAGUGAAAGCUAUGGAUUCUAUCACUAUUCUGUGACUCUAUAAAUGCCUGACAACAAAAGCUAAUUAUUUUGUAAAAUAAAUUAUCUUAAAUCUGAUCUAAUAGAAGAAGACAAUGUGGUGUGACGAUACCAUUGAAAAGUUUAAUCUGUGUGUCACCAGAGGUAAAAGGUAUAGAGAUAUGAAGCGAUGCAGGCUGAGUGGGUCCUGUGUGAAAGCCUCAAAGUUAAUAGAUAGAACAAGAGACCAUGAGUGGAGUGAUGACAGAGAGCAGCUCCUGGUAUUUGUGUGUUAAAUGAGAUUUACAGAUGCUAGUGCAUCUGCAUUAAAUGUUACUGACAAACCCUCCACUUGUAAAUACUAUUACGUAACAUGAUUUUAUAUUAGUCACUGACUAUAAAAGGGAUAUUUAAUUUGUACGUAUUGUAUUAAUGUAAAAAAUGUAUUAUGUAUUAUCGUAUUACUACACUGUGCCACUUUACAGCUACUCUCUGCAACAACAGGUUUUAUCACACUAUCAGCCACCACUGAAACUGAGUCUCACAUGUGUUGCUGUCAACAAAACCACACCAUGAACAGCAUGUCAGUAUACAGUAUUUCCGCUAUCAUUGUGUAUUAAAUAGGCAAAUAUUAACAUUAUAGUCUUCCAUUUGUCUUACUGUUCUAUAAAUUUUAUUGUAUCGUUUAUUGUACAUUGCAUUUCUUGCUGUCUUGUGUGAGGCUGUCUUUAUUUGCAUGUUCAACUGAAAUGUACAGAGAGAAUAUAGAAAUAUGUAAAAGUACAUAAAAGAAGCAAGUACCGAUGUUCAAUCAUCUGCAACUGCUACAGAUUAAUUUGGAAUAUUUAAAAUGUAGAAUGUUUUGACUUCUGUGUUUCGCAUCUCCUCCUCCUCCUUGACCCGGAGGACAAAUACUGAAAGUGUUGUGGACUUAAUCUAUUUUUCUGA